GCCUCAUAGUGGGGGAGUAACAGUUGGAAACGGACUGCUAAUACCGCAUAAGCGCACAGCAUCGCAUGAUGCCGUGUGAAAAACUACCGGUGCUAUGAGAUGGAUCCGCGUCUGAUUAGCUAGUUGGUAGGGUAAGAGCCUACCAAGGCGACGAUCAGUAGCCGGCCUGAGAGGGCGACCGGCCACAUUGGGACUGAGACACGGCCCAGACUCCUACGGGAGGCAGCAGUC
rnacentral:rRNA from 1 species